rnacentral:rRNA from 1 species
AUACGGAAGAUGCGAGCGUUAUCCGGAUUUAUUGGGUUUAAAGGGAGCGUAGGUGGGAUAUUAAGUCAGCUGUGAAAGUUUGGGGCUCAACCUUAAAAUUGCAGUUGAUACUGGUUUCCUUGAGUACGGUACAGGUGGGCGGAAUUCGUGGUGUAGCGGUGAAAUGCUUAGAUAUCACGAAGAACUCCGAUCGCGGAGGCAGCUCACCGGGCCGGAACUGACACUGAUGCUCGAAAGUGCGGGUAUCAAACAGGAUUAGAUACCCUGGUAGUCCGCACAGUAAACGAUGAAUACUCGCUGUUUGCGAUACACUGUAAGCGGCCAAGCGAAAGCGUUAAGUAUUCCACCUGGGGAGUACGCCGGCAACGGUGAAACUCAAAGGAAUUGGCGGGG